CUUCUUCCAUUUUUGUGCACCUAUUUCAACACACACGUACAUGUGUGUAUAUGUUUGGGUUUUUGUUCUUCUCAGUUUUCCGUCAUUUUACAACGUCAAUUGCUUAUGCAAAUGACUGAAAAUUUCAUUGCCGAGUUUUGUUUUUUUGGACAAUUGGCAUAAUUCGUGUGUGCGUGAUCGCAAAAGCAUCUGUGAAACACAUCACAACCUAUUAAAAUUCGCUGAGAGGGAGAAUUAUGAGCGUGAGCGCAAGAUUUAGAGCAGGAGUGCAUGGUAUUUUGAAGGAUUAUGUGACUAAGGUUGAAUCACGCUAUCAAUUGAUUAUGAUUAUCUAUCUUUUUUGCUGGGUACUUAUUAAAAAACAAGAUUUUUUGGUGGGUAGAGAUCGUAAAAUGAUCUGAUUGGCUACUAAUGAAGACUGCCAGCUGUUGCAAAUGGUUAUUUUCUCCUUUUUAAAAAAAAUAAAUAAAAGUGUUCUAUUAGUCUCUAUUGGGACCACUAGCAUGAGAUAAGGUUAGGACUCUCGUUUUUUUUCAAAGUAGUACAAUUUUCAUGACUGUACGAUUUUGUCUCCUUUUACUAGCACCUGCAUCACAUGUGUUGUUUUAGUAAAAUUUUGUCCUACUUUUUAUGCCACAGUGAUAAUGAAACGACAAAAAUAAGAUCUUACAAACAUACAAAUUGAACAAAACAUGAAAAAUGGAUGAGAAAUGAUUAAGGCUAACAUUUGACAUUAUAUAUUGCUAGGUACACAAGAAAUAUACUCCGAAAAGGUAAAUCUUAUUGAUUCACUUGUUGAAUUUGUACUGUGAUUUGCCUUUUCGGGAUUUACUUUUUGGGUACUUAGAAUUAUCGUGACAUGACACGGGACUUUGUAAUCUUUGGGACAUCUAUCUACUAGGAACACGGUCCAAAUCCUAUUGAGCCAGCACUAUAACCAAUGGGCUUAUAUCCAAUCGGCCUGGCAAACCAAACAAAAAUUUGUACUAUCUCAAAUAUGAUGACUCAAAACUCAAAAAGAUGCAUGGAAAGACUCUCAUCAAGAUUCAAUUUUGAAAAUCAAUGACAAAAAGAGAUCUAUGUACAAAAAAUCAUGACUAUUCCGAAUAGUCAUGAAAGGAUGGGACACUAUUGUUCAUUUGAACAGGUGUCAACAAGAAAGAGAAGAUUAUAGCUUCAAGAGCUUCCUCUUCCGUCUUUUCCUAAAGGCUAUCACACACCAACACGGGUACAACAAUACGACACUAUAUGUUAAAAUGAUUAUUAAUAUUGUAUCAUAAGUACCUUUUAAAGAAAAUAAAAGUUAGCAACAAAGGCAAGUGUACUUCAUUGGAUCUAGGAUUCUAGAUAAAUAUGGAAUUUCUAGUGUUCAUCUACCUCCUUUGGCAUGACCUUAUCCAUUUCUCAAGGUUUAAGUAAAUAUGCCUCAAGUACGAACUGGUAUCCAUGUGCUCAUUCAAAUUCAUUAGUCCUUGACAGCGACUGCAAAAGCAUGUAGAAUUGCAUCAUCACCAGUGAUAACUUGUAUGACAGGCUUGUUAUCAGACUCGACGAUGACUCUCCUGAGCCCAUCUUCUUUGGCUAAAUUCAAAGCACUUCUUAGGCAUAGCUAAGCUCACCUAAAGAAACACAUAUGCCUCCAGCUUUCUUGAUGUUCUCUCAGCUUUCCCCCAUACUGUGGAAACGACCUUUUGUCCAAGGCAGCAUGAGUUUUGGUUUUAACAAACCUAGACUGAUAGACCUACAAAAUUACAUUUGCAUAACCAGUCCUAGUUGGGGAAUGAUGGAAGUUGGAAACAUAGAUGUGCAGUGUGCUAACUGUCUUGAGCUUCUAAAUCGCAUUUUGGCCAUCAUAGAGUCUAGACUUCAGCACCCUUUUUUGCUGAAUUGGAACAGAAUUCAUAGCAUCAAUCGGAUGCCAGCUUAAAAGUUUCCGAAGUCUUACCAUGACCCUGAGAUGAAUCCACCAAUUUGCAAAUAACUGCAAUUAUAUUCUGUGAUGUAUAGUUCAGAAGGGAGAAUUCCCAAGUCCUAGAAGUAGUGGGACACCGCCAGAUCGAAUGCUCCUAGAUUCGUCUUCAAGACCAGUCACAAAGCAUAUGGGAUCUUUGCCCAUUGCUCUUUGAAUAAGGUAAAUGUUGACAACGAGCACUCCACUGGCACACCCACAGUUUUCGAAACGUUAAUUGGAAUUUUGAGACCCCAAAUAAGUUCCCAGCUUCCUGACUGGCUCUUCGAGUCAAUGUGACCAUCCUCCCUCUCCAAUUUUGGGCUUUGUAGUAAGUUAGUAUUCUAACCUUCUUAGCUAUUUGGUAUGCAUAAUUAAAGCCGGACCGUCUAUUCAUUUAGGUUGGGAAGCCCUCAAUCACCAACUACCACCUCAUAUGUAAUGAAGGGAGCAAUAACCUCUUGUGAAACACACAAUGCACAAGUUGAAUGUUGCCCUAUCUGGAUUAAACCAAACAUUUUCUGGACCACAAUGGAUUGUGGUCU